CUCACUCUCUCACAAAAAACACACGCUGAAAACUAUUUGCUCCUACACUUCUCACCGAAAACUAUUUGCUCCUGCACUUCUCACCAAAAACUCCAUUGCCAUCGCCGAUCCAUCCUCACCUCAGACGCUGGCGAUGCUUCAACUCCCGAUCGCGACGAUUCAGACGCUAGUGAUGCUUCAGCUUCAAUUACGACGGUUUGAAGAAAUCCGUCGCCGAUUUGAAGAAACCGUCGCCGAUUUGAAGAAGCCGUCGCCAAUUUGAAGAAAACCGUCGCCGAUAACCACAACCCCAACCUUUUCGAACCCAUUAGCGAAGAUUUAAAGAAAUCCGUCGCCGAUUUGAAGAAGCCGUCGCCAAUAACCACAACCCCAACCUUUUCGAACCCAUUCGUGACGGUUUCAAAGUCGUCACCGCCGGCGAUGCUUUAGCUUCGAUCGCAACGGUUUGAAGAAAUCCGUCGCCGAUUUGAAGAAAACCGUCAUCGAUAACCACAACCCCAACCUUUUCGAACCCAUUCGCGACGGUUCCGGCUACCAACGCCUUUACAAACCCAUUUGCAAUGGUUCCGACAACCAUUCAGACUCUUGCGUAUUUCUUAUUGGUGGCUUUUAGGGGAUUUACUUUUGGCAUUACUUGAAGACAUAUGAGAACAUCUUCCGUUAGUUCUAAAAUAGGGUUUAGGUAGAGUUAUUGUAUAUAUUGCAAACAAUUAUUGUAUGGAAGGAGUUUGAAUUGGAUACUUGUUUUAUUUUUUA